CCUACGUGAGGCAGCAGUGGGGAAUAUUGGGCAAUGGGCGCAAGCCUGACGCAGCAAUGCCGCGUGAAGGAAGAAGGCUUUCGGGUUGUAAACUUCUUUGACAGGGGAAGAGCAGAAGACGGUACCCUGAAAACAAGCCACGGCUAACUACGUGCCAGCAGCCGCGGUAAUACGUAGGUGGCAAGCGUUGUCCGGAUUUACUGGGUGUAAAGGGCGUGUAGCCGGGAAGGCAAGUCAGAUGUGAAAUCUGGAGGCUUAACCUCCAAAUUGCAUUUGAAACUGUUUUUCGUGAGUACUGGAGAGGCAGACGGAAGUCCUUGUGUAGCGGUGAAAUGCGUAGAUAUAAGGAGGAACACCAGUGGCGAAGGCGGUCUGCUGGACAGCAACUGACGGUGAGGCGCGAAAGCGUGGGGAGCAAACAGGAUUAGAUACCCGAGUAGUC
rnacentral:rRNA from 1 species